rnacentral:rRNA from 1 species
AGCAGUCGCCGCGGUAAUACGUAGGUGGCAAGCGUUAUCCGGAAUUAUUGGGCGUAAAGCGCGCGUAGGCGGUUUUUUAAGUCUGAUGUGAAAGCCCACGGCUCAACCGUGGAGGGUCAUUGGGAACUGGAAAACUUGAGUGCAGAAGAGGAAAGUGGAAUUCCAUGUGUAGCGGUGAAAUGCGCAGAGAUAUGGAGGAACACCAGUGGCGAAGGCGACUUUCUGGUCUGUAACUGACGCUGAUGUGCGAAAGCGUGGGGAUCAAACAGGAUUAGAUACCCGUGUAGUCCCUGUCUCUUAUAA